GUGCUCUCCUCGGCAGCACGCACGCUAACAUUGGAGUGAUGCAGAGAAGAUUAGCAUGGCCGCUGCGUAAGAAUGUCACGAAAAUUCAUGAGACGUUCCACAUUUUU
ensembl:snRNA U6 U6 spliceosomal RNA